GCAAAGGGUGAUUUUUAAAGGGAGAGAAAAAAUAGAAGACACAACUAGUUAAGAAUCUAUUGCAGUAUUCCAGACCAGAUGGGGAGAGCGUAAACAGAGUCUAUGAGAAUGGCGCAGGGGAUGGUGAGGAGCAGGCUGAUAGAAGAAAUGGGGUCAAUUGUAUCUAAUGACUCCAAAGAGAGAGGAGUGAAGAAUGACUUUCAUAUUUCUGAUUUAGAAGGCGAGGAGACAAAUGAUGUUACCAUGGUAAAUAAGAAUAAAGAGAAAAUAAAGUUGUUUUCAAAUCCCUUGUCUGAAAUAAUCAUAACAAAAACAAUAGCUUACAUUUUAUGUAUACCAUAUGCCAUGAGUUGGUCUCAGCAUUUUACAUAAAUUUACAUAUAAUAAUUGCACCUAACAACUAGUUGGAAUAGGUAACAUUUUAAUUUCAAGUUCCCAGAAGAGGAAACUGAAACCCAGAGAGGUUAAGUAAUUUGCCUGAUAUUUCACAGCCAGGAAAAUGGCAGUGUGGGUUUUUUUAAUGGUUUUUUUUUUUUUUUGAGACAGAGUUUCGCUCUUGUUGCACAGGCUGGAGUGCAAUGGCACGAUCUUGGCUCACCUCCUCCUCUGCGUCCUGUGUUCAAGCGAUUCUCCUGCCUCUCCUGGGAUUACGGGCAUGUGCCACCAUGCCCGGCCAAUUUUGAACACAGACAGCCUGCGUCCAGAAUCCCUGCUCUUUCCCUGUAUACCACAUGGCCUCCUGUGCACGAUCCAGAGGAGACAUCCAGGUGUUGGAUACAUGGGCCCGGGGUGCAGCAGAAAAGCAUUGCCCCAGUGCACAGCCAUAUCCAUAUGCCGUUGGCGCAUGGAUUGGAACAAAACCAUGGAACUCGAUGAAGAAGAGAUGGCAGUUGCCGUGGAGGAAAGUGAGGAUACUGUGAGGACACAGAGGAAAGUGUGAGCUCCUUUACUUGUGAAGACUUCACAGAAGAAAUAAUCUUUGAGCUGAAUCUUGAAAGAUGUGAAAAAGCUGCAAGAGAGACAAGAGGAGAGGGAGAUGGACAAGCAAAUGCAG
rnacentral:lncRNA from 1 species